rnacentral:rRNA from 1 species
AGUAACGCGUGAGGAACCUGCCUCAAAGAGGGGGACAACAGUUGGAAACGACUGCUAAUACCGCAUAAGCCCACGGCUCGGCAUCGAGCAGAGGGGAAAGGAGUGAUCCGCUUUGAGAUGGCCUCGCGUCCGAUUAGCUAGUUGGUGAGGUAACGGCCCACCAAGGCGACGAUCGGUAGCCGGACUGAGAGGUUGAACGGCCACAUUGGGACUGAGACACGGCCCAG